rnacentral:rRNA from 1 species
AUGCCAAAGCGGCGCUCCGAUGAGCGUGUAGGCCUGGAGUCCAAGAGUCACCGUUGUCACUUGUAUCUCGUCAUCCAUGAUGAGGAUGAUAGAUAUGCCAUCCGCAAGUUUGAUUUAUCGUUACACUCUUCUUCUGACCACACCGCUCUGCAGCGCCUACCUCCCCCUCUCAUCAGCCUUGAGUCUCCGAUGAGCGGAUUGUUUGCGUCCAUUGGCUCCAAAAUCAUGGUGAUGGAUACUGAUCGGCCGGAGCGCAUAGUACCCGUCUUUGAUGUCUGCACGAAGUAUCUCACCCUCGGUCCUCGGAAUGGCUCACGGCCUUUUCGGCCCAUAUAUUUACCCGUCGGUGAUAGUCUCGCUGCACUGGACGAGGACUCCUCGGAGCUUCUCCGUCAACAGGAAUGGGGAUGGUCGUCUUGGCGCAGUCUACCGAAUCCGCCGUUCAAUCUUGAAGACAUUACCUCCCACGCGGUGCACCCUGACAGCCGGACCAUCUUUGUCAGCACAAAGACCACCACUUUUUCCCUUGAUACCAGGCUGAAUGAUACUAAGUGGAUGUGUCAUGGCCAAUGGAAGCUUCCUUUUGUUGGACGCGCUCACUUUGACCCUAGGCUGGACGCCUGGGUUGGGCUCUCUGGCGGCCAGGACACGCUUGGUUACCUUUGCUCCAGUGACGUCGUUUCAACAGAUCCUGAUGACCCCAGCGGCAACACACAGUCCCCAUCUUGGAAGCUUAGUAAGAAGAGAUUGUUCGGUGAUAACCAGGCUGAGAAGCACAUUGGCACCAAUCUUGUCUACCUGGGGGUUAGACUCUUCUGCCUUGUGCACUACUUCUCUGUUAAAGAUGAUGCAAGUGGCUCAAAUUGCAAGACAAGAUAUAUGCUUCGGCUAACGACGUUCUCUCUUGAGUAUGACAAAAACGGAGACCUGCGGACUGGAAAACCCAGCCGUGUUCAAUGCUACAGUCUGCCUACACCAUCUAAUAUCCUUGCCUUUCGGGAUCCUGUUGCGUUCUGGUUGUAA